UGGGCCCGUUAAAAAGAGAAAUCAAAUGGCAGACCAAGAAGCUAAAAAAGCAGCCCAAGGGCCAAUGACUCUGGUGGUGAGAACCCAACAGCCCGCUGCUGAGAAAAUAAAUAAAAGAACCCUCACAGAAGAAGAGGGGCGAGAUUACUUAGCUAACAUACACCAUCUGACUCAUUUAGGAACUAAAAAAUUACUAAAAUUGGUUAGUAAGUCCCCCUAUUACAUUCCUGGAUUAAAAGGAAUUGUGGAAGAGAUAGUAAAAAACUGCCGUGCUUGUGCACUUACCAACGCUGGGUCUAGCAGGCUCCAGAAAAGAAAACGACUGCGAGGAGACAGACCUGGAGCCUACUGGGAAACUGACUUCACUGAGGUGAAACCGGCUAGGUGCCGCAUCAGUUUGAAGUAGGAGACGCAGUCCUGGUGAGGAGACACCGAGCGGGAAACCUAGAACCGAGGUGGAAGGGACCCUACUUGGUGCUACUGACAACGCCCACCG
rnacentral:lncRNA from 1 species